rnacentral:pre_miRNA from 1 species
UUGCUCAUAACUUUCCAAAGAAUUCUCCUUUUGGGCUUUCUGGUUUUAUUUUAAGCCCAAAGGUGAAUUUUUUGGGAAGUUUGAGCU